rnacentral:tRNA from 1 species
GCGCAAGUGGUUUAGUGGUAAAAUUCAUUAUUGCCGUCGAUGAGCCCCCGGUCCGAUUCCGGGCUUGCGCA